rnacentral:rRNA from 1 species
GACGAACGCUGGCGGCGUGCCUAAUACAUGCAAGUCGAACGCAGUGGGGCCGGGUGAGUAACACGUGGGUAACCUCCCAUCAGAGGGGAUACCACUUGGAAACAGGUGCUAAACCGAUACUGAUGGAUGGACCCGCGGUGCAUUAGCUAGUUGGUGCAGUCACGGCUCACCAAGGCCACGAUGCAUAGCCGACCUGAGCGGGUGAUCGGCCACACUGCGACGCAGACACUGCCCCGACUCCUACGGUAGGCAGCAGUAGGGACUCUUCGGCAAUGGACGAACGUCUGACCGAGCAACGCCGCGUGAGUGAAGAAGGUUUUCGGAUCGUAAAACUCUGUUGUUAGAGAAGCGGUAUCUAACCAGAAAGCCACGGCUAACUACGUGCCAGCAGCCGCGGUAAUAC